CACUGAACUCACAAGAAUUCCAGGAUGGUGGCAAAAUCUCCCAGAGUACAACUGGGCCCUUUGUGUCUUAGGAGAACCUCUAACAAGAUGAGAAGUUCAGCAACCUAUCAACUGAUCGAUCAGCAGAAGCCGGUGGAAACUGGAGGCACCAGAGAUGUUUUUUCCAUAUAGAAGCUGUUAUCCGCGAGGUGAUUCAGGCUAGUUCCAGUGGUCUUGUGAUGGAGAGAGCCAUCUGCACCAGAGAGGUGUUGCUUCCGACAAACUGGGACCUGGAAAAGACUCUAGCUUAAAAAGCCCAGGGUCCCCCACUGCAUCAGGGACCAUCACCAUCUAUCCAGGAUACGCCUUACGGCUGGACUCGGGUGACCCGUGGAGGAGAGAGGGAGACUGAGGACUCUGCCCUGCCCUGCCUCGACAAUGCAAUUCACUUGCAAGUCAAGACAGCACCCUCCUUACGUCAUCGGUCCUCUUCCAGAACAAUAACGAUGCUGAGUCACAGUUUAAUAGCUUUUUGGGUGUGCUCCAUCAUGUGCUCCAGAAUAGCUGGAUGAGUUCACACCUCUGCCAAAAAUGUCCCAGAGUUCUUGUUUUCCCACAUCCCCUCCAGCAUUUGUCAUUUUCGUGUAUUUUUAUUGGCUGUCUCCCCUCUCCCCUCAUUGCCUUUCCCCACUUCCUGCAUCCCUGUGUUCCUUUAAGUCUCAACUAAAAUCCUCCCUUCUCCAAGAAGCCUUUUGUAAGCCUGCUUAAGGCUAGUGCCUUUCUUCUGGGAUUAACUCCAGCCUAUCUUGUAUAUAUCUUGUUUGUACAGGGUUGUUUCCACACUGUUUGCUUCAUAGGACUGGGAGUUCUUUAAUGAGAGAGACUGUCUUUUACUU